rnacentral:rRNA from 1 species
GCGCUCUCUGGUAUUCCGGACAGCAUGCCUGUUUGAGUGUCAUGAACUCUUCAACCCUCCAAGUUUUUUGUGAACUUGUUUGGUGUUUGGAUUCUGAGUGUUUGCCCUUUUUGUAAUGAGAAAGGCUCACUUGUAAUACAUUAGCAUCUCGAUUUCGAACUUCGGAUUGACUUGGCGUAAUAGACUAUUCGCUGAGGACACUUGUAACAGAGUGGCCGAAAUGAGAUAACAGUAGAGGCUUCCAACCCUUCUAGUCAACCUUUGAUUAGACCUCAAAUCAGGCAGGAUUACCCGCUGAACUUAAGCAUAUCAAUAAGCGGAGGAAAAGAAACUAACAAGGAUUCCCCUAGUAACGGCGAGUGAAGCGGGAAAAGCUCAAAUUUGUAAUCUGGCACCUUUGGUGUCCGAGUUGUAAUCUCGAGAGGUGUUUUCUGUGCCAGACCGCAUACAAGUCUGUUGGAAUACAGCGUCAUAGAGGUGAGAACCCUGUAACUGAUGCGGAUGCCUGGUGCUCUGUGAUACACUUUCGAAGAGUCGAGUUGUUUGGGAAUGCAGCUCAAAUUGGGUGGUAAAUUCCAUCUAAAGCUAAAUAUUGGCGAGAGACCGAUAGCGAACAAGUACCGUGAGGGAAAGAUGAAAAGCACUUUGGAAAGAGAGUUAACAGUACGUGAAAUUGUUGGAAGGGAAACGCUUGAAGUCAGACUUGCUAUUUGGAGUUCAGCCGCAAGGUGUAUUCUUCAAUUUGCAGGCCAGCAUCAGUUUUUAGGGGUAAAAAAGGGUAUUGAGAAGGUAGCAGCUUCGGCUGUGUUAUAGCUCUUUACUGGAUUCAUCCUUGGGGACUGAGGAACGCAG